rnacentral:rRNA from 1 species
CUACGGGGGGCACCAGGCGCGAAACCUCUUCAAUGCACGACAGUGUGAAAGGGGAAUCCUACGUGCUUAUGCUCAGCAUAGGCUUUUGCAUAGUGUAAAUAGCUAUGCGAAUAAAGGGUGGGAAAGACCGGUGCCAGCAGCCGCGGUAACACCGGCGCCCUAAGUGGCAAUCAGAUUUAUUGGGCCUAAAGCGUUCGUAGCCUGAUUUGUAAAUUUCUUGUGAAAUUAUUCGGCUUAACCGAAUAGAGUGCAGGAAAGACUGCAAAUCUAGGGACCGGGAGAAGUUAGAAGUAUUCUGGGGGGAGCGGUAAAAUGUGAUAAUCCUCGGAGGACUACCUGUGGCGAAGGCGUCUAACUAGAACGGAUCCGACGGUGAGGAACGAAGGCUAGGGGAGCAAACCGGAUUAGAUACCCCGGUAGUC